UGGGGAAUUUUGGACAAUGGGGGAAACCCUGAUCCAGCCAUCCCGCGUGAGUGAUGAAGGCCCUAGGGUUGUAAAGCUCUUUCACCGGUGAAGAUAAUGACGGUAACCGGAGAAGAAGCCCCGGCUAACUUCGUGCCAGCAGCCGCGGUAAUACGAAGGGGGCUAGCGUUGUUCGGAUUUACUGGGCGUAAAGCGCACGUAGGCGGACUUUUAAGUCAGGGGUGAAAAUCCCCGGGGCUCAACCCCCGGAACUGCCUUUGAUACUGGAAGUCUUGAGUAUGGUAGAGGUGAGUGGAAUUCCGAGUGUAGAGGUGAAAUUCGUAGAUAUUCGGAGGAACACCAGUGGCGAAGGCGGCUCACUGGACCCAUUACUGACGCUGAGGUGCGAAAAGCGUGGGGAGCAAAACAGGAUUAGAUACCCCUGGGUAGUCCACGCCGUAAACGAUGAAUGUUAGCCGUUGGGGAGUUUACUCUUCGGUGGCGCAGCUAACGCAUUAAACAUUCCGCCUGGGGGAGUAACGGUCGCAAG
rnacentral:rRNA from 1 species